rnacentral:rRNA from 1 species
CCUACGGGUGGCAGCAGUGAGGAAUAUUGGUCAAUGGACGAGAGUCUGAACCAGCCAAGCCGCGUGAAUGAUGAAUGCCCUAUGGGUUGUAAACUUCUUCUAUAUGGGAGUAAAAUGUUCCACGAGUGGGAUUUUGUAUGUACCAUAUGAAUAAGGAUCGGCUCACUCCGUGCCAGCAGCCGCGGUAAUACGGAGGAUACGAGCGUUAUUCGGAUUUAUUGGGUGUAAAGGGAGCGUAGGUGGAUGGUUAAGUCAGUUGUGAAAGUUUGCGGCUCAACCGUAGAAUUGCAGUUGAUACUGGCAGGCUUGAGUACUGUAGAGGUGGGCGGAAUUCGAGGUGUAGCGGUGAAAUGCUUAGAGAUGUGGAAGAACACCGGUGGCGAAGGCAGCCCACUGGACUGCGACUGACACUGAGGUGCGAAAGUGUGGGGAUCAAACAGGAUUAGAUACCCCGGUAGUC